CCGCCAUAUCAGAUUGAAGCAUUACUUCCCGUACGAUCACCGAAGGUAAGCAACGUCGAGUCUAGUCAGUACCAAGAUGAGUGACCGGUUGCGAAUACCAGGUGUUGUAAG